GUGUUAGGAUCCAUAUAAAUACGCUCCAAUUUUCGAACCAGUCAUCCGCUUGAAAACAGCAACAGCGGCGCCGGGUGCCUUCAGUUCACAGCUAUUGCAGCGCUACUCUCGUCAUGUUGACUACGACUUCCUGUGCUAAAGGGCGAACCUGUUGUAAAGACCAAACGCCACGUGCCUUCAGUUCACAGCUAUUGCAGUGUCACCCUCGUCGUGUUGACUAAGACUUCCUUUGCUAAAGGGCGAACCUGUUGUACAGACCAUCAUUUGCAACGACACCAGUGGUGAUUCUGCAUUCCUUCAGAAGCUUUAAGCCAGCAUGGGCUUCAGCUUGGUGUCCAGCGCUGCAUGGACAUUUGGGGACGCCAAGUCAACUGUAGCAAAUUCUGAAAGACUGCAGACAUGGUGUACAACCUCUGUCUCUCCGUUCCUUUGGAAUAUUGAGGAGUCUUUGGAUGAACUCGCGUUUACUUCUGGCAUGUGUAGCUAGCAAACCUUCACGUGCAUGACGUGGGCUUGAUCAUCGAUGUUGUUGUUGGA